rnacentral:rRNA from 1 species
UUACCCCUACGGGAGGCAGCAGUGAGGAAUAUUGGUCAAUGGCCGAGAGGCUGAACCAGCCAAGUCGCGUGAGGGAUGACGGCCCUACGGGUUGUAAACCUCUUUUGUCGGGGAGCAAGACCCGCCUCGUGCAGGCGGAGCGAGAGUACCCGAAGAAAAAGCAUCGGCUAAUUCCGUGCCAGCAGCCGCGGGAAUACGGAGGAUGCGAGCGUUAUCCGGAUUUAUUGGGGUUAAAGGGUGCGCAGGCGGACCAUCAAGUCAGCGGUAAAAUCGUGGGGCCCAACCCCAUACCGCCGUUGAAACUG